GCUGGGCACUGGCACUCAUCUGUGGUCCCAGUUACUCCAGAGGCUCACUUGAGCCAGGAGUUCUGGGCUGGACUGCACUGUGCCAACUGGAUGUCUGCAUUAAGUCUGGCAUUAAUAUGAUGACCACCAGGUUGCCUACGGAGAAGGAGCUGGGGAUCACCAAGUUGCCUGAGGAGUAAACCAGCCCAGGUCGUAAACAGAGCAGGUCAAAACACUUGUGCUAAUCAGCAAUGAGAUGACGCCUGUGAAUGGUUACUGCACUCCUGCCUAGGCAACAUAGCAAGGCU
rnacentral:SRP_RNA from 1 species